AUUGAACGCUGGCGGCAGGCCUAACACAUGCAAGUCGAACGAGUGGCGGACGGGUGAGUGAUGUCUGGGAAACUGCCCGAUGGAGGGGGAUAAAUACUGGAAACAGUAGCUAAUACCGCAUACCAUCGGAUGUGCACAGAUGGGAUUAGAUAGUAGGUGGGGGAAAGGCUCACCUAGGCGACGAUCCCUAGCUGGUCUGAGAGGAUGACCGGCCAAACGGGAACUGAGACAGGGUCCAGACUCCUACGGGAGGCAGCAGUGGGGAAUAUUGCACAAGGGGCGCAAGCCUGUUGCAGCCAUGCCGGGUGUAUGAAGAAGGCCUUCGGGUUGUAAAGUACUUUCAGCGAGGAGGCGUUACUCGCAGAAGAAGCACCGGCUAACUCCGUGCCAGCAGCCGCGGUAAUUC
rnacentral:rRNA from 1 species